rnacentral:rRNA from 7 species
AACUUUCAACAACGGAUCUCUUGGUUCUGGCAUCGAUGAAGAACGCAGCGAAAUGCGAUAAGUAAUGUGAAUUGCAGAAUUCAGUGAAUCAUCGAAUCUUUGAACGCACAUUGCGCCCUCUGGUAUUCCGGGGGGCAUGCCUGUUCGAGCGUCAUUAU